GACGAACGCUUGCGGCGUGCUUAACACAUGCAAGUCUAACGGAAAGGCCCUGCUUUUGUGGGGUGCUCGAGUGGCGAACGGAUGAGUAACACGUGAGUAACCUGCCCUUGACUUUGGGAUAACUUCAGGAACCUGGGGCUAAUUCCGGAUAGGAGCUCCUGCUGCAUGGUGGGGGUUGGAAAGUUUCGGCGGUUGGGGAUGGACUCGCGGCUUAUCAGCUUGUUGGUGGGGUAGUGGCUUACCAAGGCUUUGACGUGUAGCCGGCCUGAGAGGGUGACCGGCCACAUUGGGACUGAGAUACGGCCCAGACUCCUACGGGAGGCAGCAGUGGGGAAUAUUGCACAAUGGGCGGAAGCCUGAUGCAGCAACGCCGCGUGCGGGAUGACGGCCUUCGGGUUGUAAACCGCUUUCGCCUGUGACGAAGCGUGAGUGACGGUAAUGGGUAAAGAAGGACCGGCUAACUACGUG
rnacentral:rRNA from 1 species